AAUCGCUCUCUCGCGAGGCACAGUGUCUCUUCACGUCUUCUGCCGCCGCCGUAUGGACAAGUGGGCGAUUCUCUUCGUCUCUCACAGGCUCCCAAGCGAAUCUGCUUGAUCAAGACUUCUGCUGUGAUGAAUGGCAGCAGCUAAACAAUUCAUACUUUCCUCACGUAAGGCCCGCUCCACCUGGUCCGGACGCCAGGGAGCACUCUACUCUACCUGUGGCAUAAUCGGCAUUCAACGCCAUACUCUAUCUGAGACGUAAGGUUG